rnacentral:ncRNA from 1 species
CUUACUGGCAGGUGUAAACUUGGUUGUUGCCAAACCCAAUUGACCAUAUGAUCAAAAUAGCUCAUUUUGCAGAUUUUUUUCUAGUAAGGGACUGAUCAUGUGAUAGUUUCCAGUAGUUGGUGGAGAUUUUGAAAAGAAAAUCAAGAAAAUUUUUUUUUUUUUACAUUGUGUACCCUCCUAAAAGGUACAUGAUGGUUCAGAGACCAUAAAUUUUUAGUUAUUUGCUCAACCACCAGCUUGCAGCAUGGUAGUGUUAUGCACGCGCAAACUUAUAGCUGGAAUGGCCUAAUAGGGUUUGAUUCCGGAGAGGGAGCCUGAGAAAGGGCUACCACAUCCAAGGAAGGCAGCAGGCACGCAAAUUACCCAAUCCUGACUCAGGGAGGUAGUGACAAGAAAUAACAAUAGAGGGCUUUUCUAAGUCUUGUAAUUGGAAUGAGUACAACUUAAAUCCAGUAUACCAUAAAUUUUCUCAUUG